rnacentral:rRNA from 1 species
UACGGGGGGGGCAAGCGUUGUUCGGAAUUACUGGGCGUAAAGGGCGCGUAGGCGGCCUGCUAAGUCGGACGUGAAAUCCCUCGGCUCAACCGAGGAACUGCGUCCGAUACUGGUGGGCUUGAAUCCGGGAGAGGGAUGUGGAAUUCCAGGUGUAGCGGUGAAAUGCGUAGAUAUCUGGAGGAACACCGGUGGCGAAGGCGGCAUCCUGGACCGGUACCGACGUUCAGGCACGAAAGCGUGGGGAGCAAACAGG